GUCCCCUGCACCUCCACCAUGGUAUCUCUUCUACUGGGCUAAAUUCUUUCCCUGAGGGCAAGGACAGGCCUCUUCAUCUUUGGGAUGCCAGCCUCCAGUGGGAAACAGAGCAGAGAGCGUGGCAGUGGAUGUCAGGUGAAUAACUGCUCUAUGAAUGGCUAAUCCUGAGGCAUAGACUGACUCUGUCGCUACCUGACACUGAUACUUAGUCCAGCCGGAUCCUCCCGCCAGCAUGGACCUAGUUCUGAUUCUGUUCCUCAAACCAACCCCACCACUGACUUCACUGGUUGAAAAAUUCAUUGUUCCCUUCAGAGACAGAAUCACUUAGCCAGCAGGUGCUGCAGGCCACAAAGAGCCACUCUCGGUGCUGGGGCUUGGGUGGUUGAGACCAAGUUGCUUGGAAGGCAAACUCAAAGGUACCUGGGAGAGAUGGACACUCAGUCUUCAGACUAAAGGCAGUACCCGAAACCAGCCCCGGCUCUGUCUUUUGCUCUCCCUUUCUCCUUCCCCCACUCCUCUCACCCCAGCCUCUCUCACCUCCCAGAUUAGCAACGAGCUCAGGUUAUUCUUAGAAACCCAUCACCAGGUGUUAAAAUCACUGUGUUCCCAAGGCAGAAUGAGCAGAGACGAACGAGGGAGAAGGACAAGGGUCAUGGCCCACAGGGAAGGAGCAGUGUGGUGACAGAGUGGUCACUCCACGGGAGGCGUGGUGACACAGAGAAGGUGGACGAAGAUGGGCAGAAGAGAAAUCAUAACUGGAAAGACUAAAGAGAGAGAGGACACAGUGGGAGGAAGGGACAGGGAGAGAUGGAGAAGGAAGAUGUCAAUGCAGUGAUGCACAGUGAUAGCCUGUCUCAAAACCAGACAAAACUAUCAAACGAGGAUGAUGCCGUCCACCAUGAUAACGACACAGCCAGGAGGCCCUUGCCAGACUCAGUGCCAUGUUGUUUCGACUUUCUGCCUGCAAACCUGUGAGCUAAGCAAAUAUCUUUACAUUAUA